GACGAACGCUGGCGGCGUGCUUAACACGUGCAAGUCGAACGGAAAGGCCCUGCUUUUGUGGGGUGCUCGAGUGGCGAACGGGUGAGUAACACGUGAGUAACCUGCCCUUGACUUUGGGAUAACUUCAUGAAACUGGGGCUAAUACCGGCUAGGAGCUCCUGCUGCAUGGUGGGGGUGGGAAAGUUUCGGCGGUUGGGGAUGGACUCGCGGCUUAUCAGCUUGUUGGUGGGGUAGUGGCUUACCAAGGCUUUGACGGGUAGCCGGCCUGGGAGGGUGACCGGCCACACUGGGACGGGGAUACGGCCCAGACUACUACGGGAGGCAGCGGUGGGGAAGAUUGCACAAUGGGCUGAAGCCUGAUGUAGCAACGCCGCGUGCGGGAUGACGGCCUUCGGGUUGUAUACCGCUUUCGCCUGUGACGAAGCGUGAGUGACGGUAAUGGGUAAAGAAGCACCGGCUAACUACGUG
rnacentral:rRNA from 1 species